GCUAGAAAGAGGUUCAGUCUAGCUAUCUGAGGAGGUCCCAUGGAGAUCCGCAUAGAGAAAAGGAGGGAUCUGGUGGCCAGCCGCUGGCUGCUGGCCCCUGACAGCCAGCCAGAGGCAGUCGGAGAUAGCCGAAAGCAUCAGGCCACUGAGGAGUAAUUGCUGGCAUCAGGUUUCUUCACUGAUUAAAACCAAGCUGCUUUGAGCAGUUGUUAACCCUUUCCUUGCAACUUCUCGGUCUCAACAAUUGAAAAUCAGCCUGCUUGUCAAACAGUUUGCUUAAGGUUUUAAGGUCCUUACAAGUAAGAAAUGAGAUCUUAAGAUAAGCUCCUAGGAUCGGAGCAGUUUACGUGUCUGUGUCUCUGUUGUUUGUCUUCUGGCUUUUGCUGUUUGUCUUGUGCGUCUUUCUGUAUUUGAACGCAGGUAUGUGGAUGUGUGGGAGAGGGUGUCCUAUAGGGUUCUUUGAGUCUUUGUUGUGGUUGGAUUAACAGGAAAAAAAAGGGGGGGGGAGUUUGGGAUGCAGGGUCAUAAAGGAGAAUAGAUUUUGCACCCCUGCUCCCUCUGCCUGAGUUCCAACCAAGCAGGCUAUGAUGAAGUAACACUGUGCCUGCUCCUGCAGCCAGCUUCAGGGCGGGAGAGAGAGUGCAAUUACCUGUUCAAUGAUUUUUCCCUCCUUCUCCCUUUGGAUGGGCCCCCAAAGGAGUGGAAGAGAGAAAAUUCUGAGCAGAAAAGGGAGAUUCUUACUCCACAGUUAGAAACUUUCACUUAAAAUUAAUUCUCAACUUGGGUGGAUUGCUAAUGAUUUUGAUAUGGUACAAAUGUAAUAUAUUACAACAAAACUCCUGAUUAGAAGUUUGCUUUGUUAAACCUUGCAAUGAAUAAUGAUUUCAGUGAAUUUGAGAAUUGUGUAAAUGUGAUUGAUAGCAAGUCUGAUGCAGAGAGGAAAGUCUAUUCUGUAUGGCAGAAAUUGUACUGACUACUUUAUAGAUGUAAAAGUCAUUCAGAAAAACUUGUGUUGUUGAAAAGAACUUAUUCUAGAAUUUGAAUUUGGGAAUCCUUCAAAUCACAUUUAUUUUAAUGUAUGUGAUGUCAGAAAUAGCAGCAAGAAAUUAUAUUACACACAAAGAGUUUUUUUUAAUAGUUAAUCUGUGCAUGGGAUUAAUGAGAUAAGUGCUAAAAAUUGAUAUUUUACAAAAGGGGAAAUUUUUAAAUGAUCAAGGUUAUAUGAAUUGUUUUUAAAUGUGCAAAAUACAAAGGAAGGAAUUUGUAAUCUAGAAAUGAACAUGUAUGUAUUCAGAUGCCAAAUGCUGGAAAUUAGUAAUGCUGAGUGAAUGCUAAAUAUGUAUGCAUUAUAUUAUGAAGAGGAUUAAGUUUUCCACCUAAAUAGGUUAAGAGUAUAUGACAUACAAUCUGUAUGCCCUUAACAAGACAAAUUUAACCAGCCCUGUAAUCGAGAGGGCUUUUCAUGAGGAUUAAAUACAGUCUAGCUCCAGAUAUAUCAGAGAGGUCAGGCUGGAACGCCAGGUAACAUGUAGCUAACUAGGGAAAGGUGAUUAAGUACAUGUGAAAGGAAAUAACUUCAUAUCUUAUAACCUAGCUAGAUAAGUUAAUAAUUGGAUUUUGGGGUGUCUGGAUUCAUUUUAUGAAGUGCUUCAUUUCAAUGAGAGUAAUGAAUAGAGAUAUUAGUUGAUAUUAUGAUACAACAAAUUAUAAAUUGGAAUUUAAUCAAGUAUGUAGCAAUAUUUUGAGCUAAAAGAAAACUAAACAGGAGGAUCUAAAUGCUUUGUACUUCAGUUUGGUUACACACUGAAACAUUGCUAAAGAACUUAGUCAAAGUUAUUUGGAAGUUGUGGAGUUCAAACUAAAAGUUCACUGAGAGUAAAUUAUUAUGAAAGAGGUUUGAUAAAUUCAAAAUUUUAAAUUGCAGUAAGCUAGUCACUGGUUAAAGACGGAUGGGCCAGGGUUGCUAAGUAAUAAAAUCUAAGUCAAGGCUAGCA
rnacentral:lncRNA from 1 species